GCAGCGGCGGGGAUCGGCAACGAGGAGUGUACGGUCAUAGCGGACAAGGAUGUCUUUGAUCUCCUUCUUGGACUGCUCAUCAACGUACUUCUGAUUGAAAGCUACGAUAGCCUUGGCGAUGCUCUGGCGGAUGGCGUAUAUCUGGGAGGUCUUGCCACCACCGCGCACGCGGAUGCGGAGGUCGACACCCAUGAAGCGCUGCCGCCCGAGAAGGAGGACGGGCUCGAAGGCCUUGAGGCGGAGGAUCUCCGGCUUCACCAGCUCGAUAGGCACCCCGUUCACCUUGAUCAGCCCGCGCCCGCGCUUGCAGUGCGCCACCGCUACCGCCG
rnacentral:lncRNA from 1 species